rnacentral:misc_RNA from 1 species
GAUGAAGAACGUAGCGAAAUGCGAUAAGUAAUGUGAAUUGCAGAAUUCAGUGAAUCAUCGAAUCUUUGAACGCACCUUGCGCUCCUUGGUAUUCCGAGGAGCAUGCCUGUUUGAGUGUCAUGAAAUUCUCAACCUUUUCAGCUUUCUUUGUUGAUCAGGCUUGGAUGUGGGAGUAUGCGGGCUUCUCAGAAGUCGGCUCUCCUGAAAUGCAUUAGCGGGACCUUUGUUGCCUGGCUUUGGUGUGAUAAUUAUCUACGCCAUUGUAGUCAAGCAGCUUAAAAUGAGGUUUCAGCUUCUAACCGUCUCCCCUGAGACAACUUUUUGACAAUUUGACCUCACAUCAGGUAGGACUACCCGCUGAACUUAAGCAUAUCAAUAAGCGGAGGA